AGAGAGUGCCACUUGUCCUGGCCUGCACGCUCUCUGCUCCAAUCUCCCUCAUGGUGUAGGAGGGCCGUCCUGAGUAUAGGGCUGGCUCUUAAAGGCACAAAAGGACAAU
rfam:Myotis lucifugus cont2.18018, whole genome shotgun sequence.